ensembl:lncRNA
GGAGCCCUGUCCAGCCUGACCUUAGUAUCCUUAGGUAGGAGAAGCUGAAGGAUGAGGAAGGUUUCUGCAUCUCAGUGAGUGGAGCAAAGGAAAGCAAGACUUCGGGUAUCGGUCUCAAUUUCUAAACCUUAGGUUUAUUCACCAAUUGCACAGCAGCACCAUGGAGCCACUUGCCAGAACUCAAGCGAAAUGUCACCUCGUGGGACAUGCCACCAGCCUCUUCCUUCCCACUGCUUUAUCCCCACAGACUGCACUGAUGGUGGAGGACAGAAGCUAUUUCUGGCAGUGUGAGGCUGCUGUCACACAUUCCUGCAAAGCCUUCCCUCUGUCGGGGAGCAGCCGCUGAUCAGCAGGGAUCCUCAUCCCACAGCUGGGAUGGGGAGGACACUUCCAGCCAGCCCUGCACAUGGGCACACGGAGUGACAGCUUCAGCUUUGCAUGGUCCUGGCCGUGUUUUACGGAAGCUUUGAGUAAAUGUGGAAAACACACAAUUAGAGGCCAUUGCGUGAUUGAUUUCUGGGCGCAGGGGCCUUUCCUCCUUGCCUGGAAGGCCUGGCAGGUAUUAUUUAAAGAGCUAAUGAAUGUUAAUGGGCACAUUAUUUGCAAAUCUUGAAGUGGAAUAUUAGAUCAGGGCUCCUGUGUGUCAUGGUAAUCAGCUUUCCCUCACUCGCUCUGGCUCGAGGGGGGGGAACACCCUGCAGUCGCUUUGUUAUAUGCUUUUCAGAUUAAUAUCCUUUUUCCAAUCCAGCAGCUUUUCGCUGGGUGUUUCAGUCAAAGAAGCAGAUGGCUCGCAUGCUGGUAUUUGAUGCCUGACCAAAGGGAUUGUCCUGCUCAAAACCGCCCCACCGGGAGUGAGGAGCAAGGAUCCUGCUUUGUCUUCUCCAGAGUGAAAAGAAGAAAGGAUGUGGGGAAGGAGCCAGGGAUGGGCUGGCAGUGGCUCACCUUGGGGAUGGAGGUUGGCCACUGAAGCCCUGAGCUGCGGCAGCAGGUUGGUUGCAUGGCAAGCGCCUGGACAGGUCUUCGUGCUGGGUUUGAGCUGUUCCUAAGCUUAUCUUGCAUCUUCUAUGAGACAGCCCUGCCCACCAUCCCCAUUUUUCGCACAUAUCUCCUUCCUUUCCCCUCCACUAUGCCCACAUCCCUCCAGGAACACCCAUCAGCCCUGUCCUGACCUCCAUGCAGGUUGGUGGCUGCCAACCAACACCUUGGUGUGCACCAACAGGCAGAAAGCCCCUGCUGAGCACCACAGGUGAGGCUUGAGUCUUCUCCGCCGUGCUUUCAGUAAGAACACAGGAAAAGAUUCAUCUCCUGCCCCAAAUCCUGGAUUUCCCAUAAGUCCCAGAAAUGUGUCACUCUGGGUCUGACUUUCCUAAUGGAGACUUUUCCAAGCUUCUGACAGAGGAAUGAAGCUGCUGCAGAGCAAGAAGCACAGCUCAGCCUGGCACAGAGGUCAACUUGCUCCAUAGCUCCCAACAUGAGCUGCAGAAGGACACAUGGCCGCUGGGUGACAGAGGACCAUAUUUAGGUGCUGGAAGUGUUGGUACUCCUGCAGAGAACCACGCAAGGUGGGAGCAGUUCCACCACCCCGGGUGCUCACACAUGCAGUGCAAGCAAAUGAUGGGGAAGGCACAGUGAUUCAUCAAAUCACUGCCAAAACAAAAUUCAUAACCCUCACUAUAUAUUUCCUGCAUCCUAGUUGGUGAAGCAGGAGGAUUUCUACCCAGCCUAAGAAGGGGGAGAGUUUUCUGCUCUGAUAUGUUUGUUCUGUUGCCUCCAGACGUCUUACUGUCUGCCACCCGUUCUCCUUAGCAUAUUGGUGCCAACCUACUUUGUAUUAACAGCAAUUCAAAUGUUAGCAGAUGCUGUCCAUGUUAAUCAAAAAGAAGCUUAAUACAAAUAUAUGAUUACUGUAUGAGUAUUGUAUAAGUGAUAUUCGGCUGUCUUAAGCUAAAAUAACAAUAUACACUUUUAUCCAAUCCUGAUACAUUUAUAAAUAUAUUUAAAUGGGUAUAAAUAUUUAUAAAUAGUUUCUGUAAUCUCCUGUAAUUAGGCUUUAAGCUCUGUGACAGGCAGCAUCUGUUUGAUCUGCGUGCGCUCGCCGUGUGCGUGUGUCAGGUUUCUCUAUUAAAGGCAGCGGAGCCGUGUGGGUGCCUCCGAGGAGCUGCAGGGCUGCAGGCAGCAGGACAGAGCGACAGAGGGACACACCGCGGGGACCGGGUGCAGCAGGGAUGCGUUGUGAGGGAGCCGUUCCUAAACCCUUCUAAUUUCUGCUCUGCAACUCUUUUGAUCGCGACUCUUUUUGGUUUGGGCAGACUGGCAGCAGGUAAAGGAUGAUCUGUGACCAUGUAAUGCUGCCAAGAGCUCCCAGCGGCACCUCCCUGUGCUUGGGAUCUCUGCUGAGUCAGAGAUGGGUGCCCGUACUGUUCCAUGUCCGUACUGACUGCUCAGGGCUGGGAGAUGUUGCUCAGAUGCCUACCAGUCAUUCAGCAGCACUGUGCGGUGACACAGCGCAGGCAGGACAGGAUGCUCUGCCUGUCCCACAUCAGGAUACCACAAGUAGAGCAGGGGACAUGAAGCCUGGGUGGCUUUUUGGACAAAUUCAGGCAGCGGGCACCUGCUUUGUUUGGCUGGAGAACCCACAGCAGCCAUUUGGGGGCAAUGACGCAGCUCAUGCUCUGGGCAGAUGCUACCAAGCGGCCUCAUGCCCUGUGGGCAUAAGAAGGGUGAAGAGAGGAUGGAGAGACAGCACUUGAGUGGCUCCACUCACAUCUAUGUCCUGGGGGAUGCCCAUGUGCACACAACCGGAGGGAUGUCCCCAACUCCCAUGGGUACCACCCUGCAAUCUCCACCUGUGUGCCUGGCUUGAGGGAUGAUAGGGGCACCCUGACCUGCCUGUUCAACCAGCCUGGACACAAAAGCAUGUGAGAGGAGUGUGUUUUGCCCAUGGCCCUGGGGUAAAACCAUGCCCUGGGGUAAAAACACAUCCUGGGAAGGUGGAGGAUCCUUUGCUGUUGGAUGGGGAAGUUUGUGGGAUGGAGACAAGUGCUGGGAAUUGCAGCAAGAUAAGACCCAACCAGGACCAGGGGCAGUGGGUUAUUGCCUUCUCCAGUUUGCAUCUUCAAAAACAGGAGAAGCAACUGAAAAAUACACACAUUGCAAGCUGAAAAGUUACCAAGUGAUCUUUGCUUUGCAGCUUUGCUCCUCAGCUGUGUAUCUUUAAUCUUACCAACGUCUUUAAUCAGAAGAAAAUCUGCUUUAUCCCUAAAGCCUGGGGUCUGAACAUGGGCCAUGCAAACAAAAGGAAGUGAUUGCACAGAGGGGGUUGUAUCCUCUGACCACAGCCACAAUCAGUGGCCUAUAAGGAUCCAAGUGCUUUGUGGGGUUCUUGGGCUGGGUUGGUUUUUUUGUGUGUUUUGUUAUUGUUUUGCUUUGUUGUUGUUUUUUUCUUUUUAAUGAGUUAGCAUGGCUUUCUACAGAUUUGCUCUUCCAUGGGCCUGUGGCGUAAGAAAUCACACAAUUGAUAGGGGAAGAAGUUUUGCAGCCAUUCCGCUCCCCUUAGCACACCUCUCCUGCAACACAGUCCUCCUAGUCUGCCUUUCUCCCUCCUCCCUGUGGCCGAAUGCUCUUGACAGCUUUUAGCAGUGAUAAAAAAGCUCAGAGAAAAUGAUGAGACCAGGAAAUAAUCCUGCGUUCAGCCUAGAAUAGGAGAGCAGGGAUGGCACCGAGGGAUUUCUGCAGCCCUCCUGCUGGCACGGGGCCCGUGGUGCCAUCUGCAGAUGGUGAUCCUGGGCACGGAGCGGGAUGGAAGUCACAGGUUUAACCAGAAACCUGAAACAGUGCUCCUUCCCAUCCUUCAAAAAAUUUGCAUCUUGCUUAGUCCAAAAUAUUCCCUUAAAAUGGUAACACUGAUUAAAUUUUAUGAACUGAAAAACGUGGAGGAAGGGUCUGAUUUUUAAUUUAGAAAAUGUCAGAAGCAUGUUUAGAGUUUUAAAUUACUUCUUUUUUUUUCUUUUAAUGCACAACCUGAGGAUUUUAAUUGCUUUUUAACACUGUCUCUCUUAUCAGGAAUAACACUCGAUGAAUAAUGGAAACUCUGGGUUGCCACCAAAGAGGUCCCAGACCUGCAGAAGAAGCAGUUGGAGGAGAGGUGAGACCUGGGCCGCCACCAGGAUACCUUUAUGGGCAUCCUGCAGAGGUGAGACCUAUGCGGAGCAUCCCAAUGGUGGCCAGGUAUGCAGAGGAGAGUGCUAAGGAUGCAAAGGUGAAAGGUGUUGGGAUGAAAGCGUUGGGAUUGGAUGGAUGAGCAUGGCAUAUUGGCUGGGUGAUGCCUGGGGGUGUGACUGGGGAAAGCUGUGUGAACAGGGUGGAAACCAGCUCCGUGCUGAGGGACUUGGAAUACUCCCUGAGCAAAAUGGUUAAAUGUCCAAACAACACUAAAAAUAGCUCCUUCUUGGGACAGCCAGGAGAAGCAAUGGUAGAUUCAAUCCUGUGCAGGCCACAGGGCUAAUUUAAAAUGUGAUUGAAGAGCCUCUCUAAAAGUGCCCAUCAUGUACUUAAAGUCGGUGGCAUUGUAGGACUUUUUUUUCUUAAAAAAAAAAAAAAAGAAAGAAAGAAAAAAAUGGAAAAGUUCAUUGCGACUUCAUUUCAAAAAGGCAAUCCACAUAAAAGUGGUGAGGCUUGUUAAAAAGAAAUUAAAAAGCAGCUGUCAAAAGGGUAAAAUUCUUCCAGGGGACAUAGACAUUGUUUAAAGAUCUUCUAUUAGAUGAUGAGAGUAGAUCUAUACAAUUAUCAAAAGAGACUUUAAAAGGGCAAAAAAUUAGCUGUUCUCAUUAAAGAACAGACUAAAGGAGUUUGUCAGAGGUAAAAUAGUAUCCUCCAGAAAGUGGAAGUCACGUCCAAAUGAGGAAAAUAAAAAAGAGCACAAGAUGACAAAUUAAACUUAAAACUACGAUAAAGGGGAGCCCUUUUUUUAUUAGCAGCUUUCUAAGGUAUAGAAAUCGCAUAAUUGACCCUUUUUGUCUAUCAUCUCAGCAGCAGGAGCUGUGGAGGGCCGGGGAGGGUCGAGGUGUGGGAUCAGAGCCUGAAUGUGCAAAAGAGGAUAAUACUGAAAAGGGCCCCAAACACCUCAAUAGUCAGAGCUGAUGGUGAAAAGCUGCAGCCGAACACCUCUGGACAGUAAAAUAAGAGGGAAUCCAGGAAAUGUGCAAAAUGAUGAGCACGGGUGAAGCCAUCUAUUUGUACUUUAAAUAGUCGUGAGCCUUCAAUGAGCUGUUACUGCCCAGGAAAGAUAACUUGGACCUUGCACAGCCAUCGUGUUAUGAAAACAUCGCCUCAGCGAUCUGUGAUGGCCUAAAAAGUAAAUUGAGCGUGGAAAUUUUUAGAGGAAAAUAAAAGUGUUAAACACAACAGAAGAGAUCAAUUUGUCAUUGAGCAGAUCAAUAAUUCACCUGCUACUUAAAUACUGCUCACAAAUCUGUUCCCUCCACUGGAAAGCAAAGAGAGGAAACGAGAAAGAAGGGGAGAUGCAGAGGAAGGCAGCAAAGAUGAGGGCUGGGAGCGGCUGGCAGGAAGGAGGACGUGUGAACCAGGCAAAAGAAAUGCUUUUUCGUAACAAUUUUGCAUAAUUAAACUUCUGCCAAAGGGCAUUGUAGAGUCUGGAUGGGCUGCGGAAUAACUGAGCAGCGAAAGGCAGAGCAUCCUCGGAGAUGCAGUGGGAUGCUUGGGGUCCCUCUGGCCUUGCAGCACCUCCCCAUAAGGAGUGUUGGCUCCUCUUAACUCUAGUUCUGGUUUGAAGCUUCGGGAAGGGAUCCAUCAGGAAACUCCUGAGAUGGGAGCGCGGGGCCAGGCUGCAACAUGAGCUCAGAGCAGAAGGAGGUCUACAUGGCACAGCAGGUCCAAACAGGAAACAGAGGGCUGCCUUUAGUACACAGCACGGGAUUUAGGGUUGAAAUGGUGGAGUCACUGUCCCAGGAGGCGUUCAAGAGCCAUGGAGAUGUGGCACUUGGGGAGAUGAUUAGUGGGCAUAGUGGGAUGGGUUGAUAGUUGGACUAGAUGAUCUUAGUGGUUUUUUCCAAUCCUGAUUCCAUGAUUCUAAAUACAGGCCCUUUUGCAUUAUAGGGUACACCCAGGUGGUUUUUGGUGCUAAGGUUGGGCCAAGUAUCCCCUAUUGAUGGGCUCUGCAACAGCAAGAGAUGCCAUGGGUAUCAACUGCCUAAUUCAUCUGCAAUAAAGAGUUGGAAGCCCUUACAGCCAAACCCAACAGUCAGUUCUCACACAUGCUGCACGUUUUUACAGCUCUGCCAACUGAUUUAUUGGAAAACAGAAAACUCUCAAAUUCUCAGAGCUAUAAAUGCUCUUUGUUUCAGUUCCUUCCUGACAAGCGUAUUUAUGAUGAUCACAAAGGAAAGAUCACAACAAAUCCUGGCAAAAAAUGGAAGCGAGAGGAGCGAGCCAAGCUGCAGAUAAUAAGUAACAAAUCAGGGAAAGGAGGAAGGUAAUGGUUGUGAUUAAAAAUCAGAUGCUAUGAAAUAAAGAACAAUUGAUGAGAGAAGUGAAAGUAUCCAUUUAAAAAACCCGUAUCCAAAUGCGUUAUGGACAACAAGAAAGCAUUUUAAAUUAUCUGGAACAUGAGAAAUUCUAGCAAAACGAUGAUGGUAGAGAUCCAUUUUUUGAUAGAUGUGGUAGUGCUGCCAAUAAUAACGCAGACGAUGCAGAAGGGCCCAAAACCUGCUCGGGGUCUGAAACACUGAAGACUACAUUUUUUCAGCUCACGGUCCCCACCAUUUUCUAUUCCAACAGCACUGCACACAGCAGUUACCAAAUUGUUAACAGUUUAAAAGAUGUUAAGCUGCCACCCUUAAUUAGCUGAAAUAAUUAUUAAUUUUUAAAGGCUUUCAAUUAAUUUUUAAACCAGUUUUCAUCUGCACAAUCAGCCAACUUGUUUAUAAAUUUGGGAAGAGAAAGCACUAAAUAUUUUACAGGAAUGACAGGGGGAAAAAAAAAAGAGGUGGUGUGGUACUUCUUAUGAGCUUGGAAAAAAGAUGCAUUUCCAAAAGCAGUUUGGGAGCCUGGGGUUUGCCUUUGAUGUAGAAGUUUAUUGCCUUUGUUAUUCUCUAAAAAAGUCGUGAGACGUUUUGAUUUGUUGGGUCGCAGUGGGUGGGAGGUGACGAGGAAGGUUUGGUUCGUGAUUUGUGAGGCUGUGGGUUGCUCUGGACAUUCAGGAUUUUCCUCUCGGUCAAACCGCCAUGACUCAAGCAGAAUAUUGGUAAAAGAGCCAUAAAAUUACCAGGGUCGCUGCGACACUCAUUUCAUUAUGAAUCCAGAUGCAAUACAAAUGAAAUGAUGUUUAAGCAGGGAAAUGAUGCACUCCAUCUCUACUGCAAAAUAUGAGUGUACAAAUGUGAAAAUUUGGGUUCCAAAAGGGCAUUUGUAAGAAAUAAUGCCUUCACCCCUGUAGUGCAGCACUUCUUGCUUGGCCAGGCUGGGGAGGCCGUGCCUGACAGAGAACAAAUUGCUGCUUGGCAUCCAUGCCUCACAUCGGUGCCUUCUGGCAUUGCCAUCUGCAUUUCAGCAGGGUCUCGUGUUACCUGUGUCCUGGAUUGUGACACCGAGCAAUGGUGGGAGCAGCUGGAGAGACCCCAAACUUUCCCCAGGGCAAAGCCAUCAGUGUGCAAGGGCACUGCUCUCAAGAACUGCAUGAGAUUCAGUAAUUAAAAGGAUUGAUCAUUUUUUGCAAUAGGGUUCGUAUGGCACAUAUAUAUAGAGAGAGAGAGAGAUGAGGUUACACAGAACCACCAGGUUCUUGGUCUACGUCUGCACCGAGCCCAAGCUGCAGGUUAUCCUGGGCAAAUGAGAGGUGGGAGCAGGGAUGCAGGUGCUGCCAACUUCCAUGCAUCCACCCCAGGGGCUAACAAAGCCCUGCUGCAAUAACGCUGUGUUCAAAACAAAACAGAGCAUGCUAUCCAACAAAAGAAAAUAAGGACAUGUAUCAACAGCAUAGCUGGAAAGUUUCAGUUUUAGCCUCUCCUCUGGUCCCUCUCUCUCCAUAUUGAAGACAUUCACCAUCUUUUGGCAACUCAGUGCUUUCCGAGGCAGUCUGGACAUGUGACAUCAUUCAUGUUGAUGCAGCACAAUCAUUAAAGAUUUUUUUUUUCUUUGCCAUAAUGGGUUUCAUUUUGAAUAGAGUGUGCUGAUGGGAAAUAUCCAUCGUGGUGGGAGCGUGCAGUUCCCAGCACUGCAGCAGGAGUGGGGUGCUCCAUCAACUGCACCCCUGGGAUGAGCUCUCCAGACUAGAGCUGCAGCUGCUGCUUGUUCAUCCCCACACAUAUGGGGCUGUUGGGCCCUGGUGGGCACCGGGGAUGGAUGAGCAGACAGCCUGGCUGGGAAGCUGAUGAGACUGUAGGAGCUGGGGUUUGAAAUUGGGUGUCCUGCAAUGUGUGGCCUGAAUCGAGCACUCCCGCUUCCAAAAUCCUAGGAGAGCAGCUCAGAACACAUCAGUGGUCACACUUCCAGCCCAGCCAAAUUUGUAGAAAAAGUCAGAAAGCCAUAAAAAUAAGGCAGCAGUGUUGGCUGUUGUUCACCAUUGCUAGUGCACAUCCCAGCCCAUUCCCAUGGCAGGUGCUCUCCGGUCAGGGUGGGUGAGAGGGGAGCACAGGUUCUUCCAAUCACCACCAGAGCCCUGAAGUUCCCACCAGUGGGUAACACCUUAAAGCUGAGCUGCACAGAGUGCAGAAGGAUGGGCUAUAUCUGGACGUGCUGAAAUAUUUGUCUUGUGCUCAUACAGACCCAGCCUGCCUUGCACGCCUGUUUGCCUAACUGAUGGAGGCUUGAUAGCUGCAGCAGGGAGCUCAUUAAUUGAAUUCCAAAGGGAUUAAUUACGGCAGGAAUAAGAGGGCUCUCUGUCAUCUUGCAGGUUUUUCCAUGCUGCUGGAUUUGAGGGGCCUGGAAUGUGGUGAAGGCUGGAGGAGACCAUGGUAUCUCUGCUGUGACACUGCUGUCCUGCUGGGCACAGAGAGGGGUAACACCAGGUCUCAGUGGGACACCAUCUGCUGUUUCCUUUAUCUGGACAACGGAGAGGUGUUGAGGUGAGUGGAAGGAGGUGGGGAUGGUUCUGUGCUCCCCUCAGGAUAGCAGCUGGAUGGCCAAGCAGCAGCACCAGCACAUGGCAUGAUGUGGUGAGACCUCAGGGCACGCAUCCAGCAGCACAAUGACAGCCAUGUUCACCAAGGUUUAUCCCCACCAUGCCACGGGGUGCUUUGCAGGCUGGGUAUGGACAUAAGGAGCCCAACAGCUGCAAAAACCUGCCCUGGUAAAGUGCUUGGCAUGCAGGGUGCUGCUGCAGAGCAUUUCCUUUGGCCCUGCGACCCAUCCAGCCAAGCCCCAGGGAGGAACCAGGAUUUCCUGUGUUUAAAAAUACACAUUUUUAUAUGCAUAUAUAUAAACAUAAUCCUCCUUCCCUCUUUCAGAAGUCAAAAUUAACUCCAGCUGUGCCAGUGAUACAGUUCACUGUGCAGACCCGCAGAUGUGGGAAGGUGCUGCCAGAAAAACAGUGAAGGGGCUUAAAGACUUCCCUGACCACCACAGAUGCUGGGAAAAAGGCAUUCCGUGCUGCUACACUCUAAACCAACCCCUGGCCCUGCCUAUUCAACAGCUUUACUGCUUGACACGCCAUGCAGAAAAUGGUUCUUGGCUGUUAAAAGGUUUUAGCGCAGUUGUGGGAGGACUUUUUGCCUGGCCCUGGCUGUGCUCUGCCUUAGGGACAUGGUGGCAGUUUGAGGAUGCCUGAAGCAGGAGCCCUGGGUCCCAUCACCCAGCGCUGCUGAUGCUGCAGGGAGGCCAAGUGGUUUUUUCAUAGGGCAAGGAGAAGGCUGGGCUGCUAGGUCCUGGAAAAACAAAUGGAGGGGCUCCCUCUGUGCAAAAGAUGGUUGGUACUUGGAUGCCACCUCCUUGCACUGCCCUCAGUGAGGGCAUCGCUGGUCCUUGGGGAUGUGAAAGGCUGAACUGUGAGGGGAGCAGCACCCACAUCCCUGCAGCUUCAGCCAUGGCCCUGAGCACCAGCCCCCCUCCUAAUGGCUGUAUGCUCCUCUCCUGGCGGAGCAUAUGGCUCCCCUUAUGCUCCUGUCGUGUCCAAUCUCACACAGUGGCCCUAGUGCUCUUAAUCAGUAGGCAAGCACGUGGAUGCCUUGGUAAGUGAAAGGUUUGUACAGGGGAUGGAAGCAAUGUGUUGGUUCCCCCCCACACACAUCUUUAGUUUCUUAGGAAAUAAGUGCAAAGUGCAGCUCAGAGUGUCCCCGGAUGCAUUUCUCCUCUGUGCUGGGGUUGGAGCAUCCAAGUGAGGGAGAUCCCAGGAUGUGGGAACAGGAUGAGGAGGGGCAGUUUGGCAGGAGGAGGGUUAUUGCUCCCAGCGUACCCUACCAGCACCCACACGGCACCUCGGGGGCAGGAAGAAGGGCACACAUCAAAAAUGUAGGAAGUGCCUUGCUGGGAAAGAGUUGAGGUAAAGGGAGAAGCUACUCUAGCCAAUGUUUAAUAGAAAAAGCACUAAAGCUAGAGACAGCUAUAGAGAAAUAAGAAAUCCAUUUUUUAAUGGAUUUGACUGUGCUUUAGACUGGUUCCAAAAAGCUUGGAGUGAUCCAAUUAACAAGGUAAUGAGUUGCUGAGAUAUUUACACUGCUUCUGGACAAGGCUCUGGUCCAGGGUAUUAAUUUGCUUGGGAGGGGGUGCAUAUUGCAGAUAAGUUUCCAUUUUUUUCCUUGUGGUUAUAUUCAGACUCGGAUGUUUUUGGUUUUUUUCAAAGGACUCCCAUUAUUUCUGACUUAGGGUUUGUUCCCUGUGGGUGUCAGCUCCCCUUCAAAGGAAAGAAAGGGGCUUUUCUGGGGGCAGCAAGGCUUUGUGAUUACCCAGGGGAUUGCUGGGAGGUUGCAGGACUGAAAGGAAACCCAAAAGAAAGGACCUUCCUCCCAGGGUAGAACAUCACUAUUCCAGAUCAUUCUCUACUUUCUAUAUUUAUCAGGUGCUCUGAUGAAGCCCAGCUCUUAAGUUUUGGGGUAUUUUGGCACGAAGUCUUGGGGAGGAGGUGCAGGCAGGCUCUCCUAGAGCUCAAGAACCUCGUGGGGUUUUGCUGGCCUGUUAUCGGUAAUAGAAACAGUGGAAAAGCAACAUCUCCAGCAGCUUCAGGUUUCAUUUCUCCUUUAGCCCUUGGGUCUCCAAGGUAAACUAUUAUAUUGCCAAUAUUGAGUGCAGUGUUGUUUGAAAGUAGUAAGGCUGCAGAUCAUCAGAGGUCAGGUUGUAUUUGAUUUUGGCCAAUUGGCAAUUCCCUGUGUUUGCAUCUGUUCCUGGAAGUAAAUGUCUUCUUGCUUUCUGCACUAAUGCCAGCAGCAGCCAAAAGCUUCCCAGGCGCCUGGGUGAGGGCAGAUCUUUACCAGCACUGCCCUAAGCUGGGGAACAGAACCUGAGCCCCCAUUCCUGAGCUCUAAUGUUGAGCCUUUUCCAGCAUCUCUGACUGCCAUGCAGGAGAACCUGGAUCCAAGCCUCAGAUGGAGCAAAAAUAUUUGAACCUUGCGGAGAAAAAAAUGGGUUUUGUGCAUGUACCUCUCAGCUUGCAGCUGCCAUCUAUCAUCCUGCUGCUUCCUGCAGCACCUGGCUGGUCUGUACGUGUGUGUGGCCAAGGUUCCCAGGCACCUGGAGAAGGGGACAAGGUUAGUCUUCAGGAUCCAUGCAUGGAUGUGUUCUAGCCUCCACGAUGGAUUUGCACAGUGUGUUUCCUGGGCAAUGCAGGACUUGCCCCAUGAGGACAAACCAGCUGCCUUUGGGCACGAAGCCCAACCUGAGCAUGCUGAACACAUCAUCCUUUUGGUCCUGCUGGUGGUGUCAGUCCUUUGGGUGAUAUAUCUUGAGCACACUUAGCUGGUACGUUCCACCUGAAGUUUUGGUCAGAAAGUUCUUGCUGAGGGCAGUAGGGGAUGGCUCAAAAUGGCUGUAGGUUACUCAUGCAGGUCUAUCCCAGAACAUCCCCUGGGAAGAAUGGACAGUGCAUUGUCCUUUGAAAUCGAGUCCUCUGCCAAAAAUUACUUUGGUCAUUUAUUUUAAUUCCUCCAAGUCCUGAUAGUGUCAACUACUUCUUGGUUGAGCAUGACGUCCAUUUUGCUGUGUUACUUCUGCUUUGGAUGAAGACCUUGAGAGUGCAAAGUCCUGGCUAACUUCACCCAGGGCAGAACACGGGAUUGUGCUGCAGAAGUAUCCCACCUAGGAAAGGGGACUGACUUUAAGAGUAGAGGAUUGCUGCUGAGAAGCUGCUCUGACCCAGGAAACUAUGGAUUACCUGCAAGAUGUAUUGGAAUGGCUGUCAGCCAAGGGCUUCUCAGCCUUCCACUAAGGCAAAGAUAGGGAGGAUGGAGAAACUCCUUUGGAGCAAUUGCCAUGUCAGAAGAGCUAACACAGCUGGAAGCUUCCUGCUCACCAAGAGGUGCUGGCAAACCUCAAGCUUAGGCAUCAGAAUAGGGAAGUACAAGUCUCUGGGCCCUGUUGCUUGCAGGUAGCUGUAGCCACGGGAUUUUCUGGUAAGAACACCUCACUAAUUUGUUCCCCUGAUACUCCUUCCCAGAAUAAUUCAGCAUCAGGACUGCAGAGAUCAGUGUCCAAGGAGGGAUGCUCCCCUUGGUGGGGACAUCCUGAGCAGCAGUUGAACAUCUCACGUUUGGGAAAUGAUGGUCGAGUACGACUGUCCAAACAGUACUGCUGGAUGCGGAUCUUUCCACAGUGCCCUGCAGGAUCUUCUUCCUGCAUCUCUGAGUGAUGAUAGAGCUGGGAAGACCUUUAAAAAAGAUUGAUGACACACUAAGAAAAGAAGCUUUUUUUUUUUUUCUUUUUUUUCUCAUUUUAGUCUGAAGAGUUAGGUUUCCAAGCUUUGUUUUUCAGAUUUUAAAGAAAUACACACACCUAGGGGGAGGCAGGCAUGUUUCAUUAACAGUUCAGCACAGUCCAAAACAUGACAGCAAGCCUCCAUUUGAAAUUACCGACACACCGGAGCAGCCCUGCUGGGCUCCCUCUUUGCAGGACUGCCAGCAUCGCUGCGAACCCAAACACCCGGACGUGGAGGCUGCCUCUCCAUCUCCAUUAAGGCUCUUUUCAUGACACAGCUUAUUGUCAAGCACUGUUCGCAUCUCUUGCCUUCUGACCAAUAAUUGUUGCUGUUGGUUUGCUCUUAUCCCAUUUAUUAUAUAGGUUGUUUUAUGCGUUUUUAUUGCUUCUUUCACCUUUCAUCUAACCAAGGUGUAUUUUUCCAUUGCCUUUUUAACCAGUGCAGCUGGUAUGAACACAUUUAGAGCAUCUUUUAGAACGGUCUUCAACGACUCUAAAUUAAUCACUCAGAAAUAUUUCCUGUGAUUUUCCUACCAGUUCCUAAAUAUUUUCAGCUUGGGCACAGCAUGUGCCUGUCUUGGUGCCCAGGCACGUAUCACUUUUGGGCACAGCAAUAAAAUCAGGGCACGACAUACCAAGAUAGCUGCUAAUAAGGGUUUUAAUUUGGUAAUCAGUUCACCCUCAACCAUUAGAAAGGGGGCAAAGAUGGUAAUAUCCUGGAGGCAAUGAAUGCUUUGAGCCGGAAAAUAAUCAGGGUAUGUUUCUGAAGCUUCAAGGAUAUGUGAUUAAGAGCCACCCGAGGUCUCCCAGGAGCUGUGCCUGCAGCCACAGUAGUGUAGGGUGCAUUUAUCUCCCUUUAGGUAAAGCAAAACUCAAGUCACUCAAUCUACAUCACUCCCUUCAGGAUACAGUCUGGGGACAAGGAGGAGAAUUCUCCUCUUUUGGAAGAGAUCACUCAAAAAAUCCCCAGUCCAGGAGCUCUGCUUGAGGAGCAGCACGUUACCAUGCGCCGGGUGUUUUACGGUAGAUGCCGGGGGCUGGCUCCUGCCUCCUGGCACUUCCUUAGAGAGAAAAUAAAUCUUGAAUUACCUUGUUUUCAUUUCCAAUAAAACUGCAUGCUGACAGUUGCCUUGGAGCUAAUAAUCUGAUACGGUGCUGUGCAUCUGUGAGUGUUUGUAGCAUGGGUGUGCUGCUUCUGUGUUUGAGACUGACAGGGGCAGCGCUGUAUUGUUUUCCUCCUGCUAUAUUGUGUUCCCAGCACAUCACAAUAAAAAGAAAUGGGAAGGUAGGUGAUUUAUCAUAAUACAAAAAUGAAAGGUAUAAUAAUGUAAAUUAUGCACAUCAUUAGCCACAGUCGUUGCUCUACAGUGGACACAGGUUCUACAAGAAAAUCGCCCUUAGGAUGAAGCCAUGACAACUGUCUUUGAAGGGCUUCCUUGAAGAUGCUGGAAGACCAACAUGCUCUCUUCUCAUGAGGUUUGGAGAACUGGCUGAGAGUCCCAUCAGUGUAGUAACGGCUGCACAAGGCACAGGGUUGCACACUCCCCCUGUACCCCUGAACACGUCAAGCACUGUGGGUGGGAUUUGUAUGGUUACAGUGGACGUGGACCAGUUGCUCUUAUCCCCGUGUCUCCUCAAGGCAACUGAAGUCAAUGGCAUGACCCACUUCUUCCAACAGAUGGCAGAAUAAGGGUAGGUGAACUACAGGGCGCCCCAGCACAGGAGGCUCAGAACAGCCAUCUUGGGUAUCUCACUUCCAUCUCUAGCGUUGCUCGUGGUGAGUCCUAUCCCACACUGCUGUGUUCUCAAGAAAUAAAGGGGGGAGGAAAAAUCUAGCGAACUGAAUGCUCCUUCCUUCCCAAUUUCUCACCUUUCUGCUCAUGCUUUUCCCUCUUCAAAGAGGAGUUCCAACUUUUUCAUCACAUCACCUCCAUCACAGGGAAGUGGUGACACUUUGCAGCACAGAGUGGGAUUUCCCAGCCCCCCUCCUACCACCCAGAUUCCUAACGCUGGUUUACAGCAACUUAAACCUUCCUGUGCAGAAUUUUCCCCUGUAAAAAUUAGACCUCAUGAAAAUAAAUAAUUCCCACAGGAAAUUUCAAUUUGAUUACAAAUAUUGACUUGCUUGGGGGAAGUUUUUUCAAAAGAAAAAUCCAUUUGGAAUCAACAUUUUCAAAUUAAACAUGUAUGUUUCACUCUGUUAUAGUACUUAACUUGGAAAAACACCAAUUUUGUUUCCUGUGGUUGGGGAUUUUAGGAGUUGCUUCCAUCCAUAUUUUUCUGCAAGAGCUGAACAAAAGACAUGUUUUUAAAAAUAGGCAAAGCAGGGGGUGCGGGGGGGGGGAAGAUUUGUUUUAAUUGUGAAGGAUUAAAAAAUGUAGUGUAAAAUGUUGUAAAUCACUUUCAUGCUUCUAAAAGAAAAAAAAAAGCAUAAAUAUACGCAUUAAAAUGGAAUGAUUUAGUGAGGUUGUGGCAGCCAGAAGACAGAUGCGGGAAGGGCUUGGUGUUCCACCAGCAGACAGCAGAGCUGUGGCAUGGGCUCCCCAUUACUUCUGGGCUGAGCCCACGAGCAUGAGAGGAGUCUUCCCCUAGACUUACCGUUGAGGCACAGAGGCUGGAAGGUGUUUGUAGGGAUGACUGUCCUCAGUUUAGAGCUUUGUGCCAUAUCAAAGUUGUGCUUCAGACAUCCCUCUGUCAUUCUUGGGUUCGGCCCUGCUGGACAAAGCAAAACACAACAGCUCAAGAUGUGCAUUUUUGCCCAUUUUCCCUCAGAUUUGCUCUUUCCUCAUUGAGAGUGACCACCCCACUCUCGGAAACACAGAAGUCAAGCUGAAUUGCAUUGGAAACCUCGUGCAUUUCAGGAUGAGUGCUCAGGUGUGGACAGGUUGCUUCUGCCAUUUGUGGAUUAAAAAAAGCAUGUCCUACACUAGACAAGCAAUAAUAGAAAUUCAGGAAGACAGAAGAGAUGCGCACCCUGCCUCACUUUCUUCCCAGAGACUGGAGAGGCAGCCCCCUAUCCAGUGCACUUGCGUGAGGAAGAAGCUUUCCUGCCCUUGCCUGGCUGCAGCUCCCAGCAGGCACUGGCAGCCUGCACCUGAGGAGUGGCUGUGCCAGCAUAAGAAGCUCCGGUGACAGCCCCACAGUUGUGACAGUACAUCGGUAUUGGGACAGAAGGGGGAAGGAACUGCUUACAUCACAUACUGGCACUGGAAGCAGCACACUUGUAAUCAUGGCCUUUGUUAGAGGUAUGCAGUAAAGCAGGAAUUCCAUGCUGGAGUGACAGGCUUGAGUGCUCUUUUACCAGGCUCGUGGACACGAGGCUCCAGCCCUUCUGUGGGAGGAUGCUGCAACCUGAAUCACCAUCAGCAGCUCCUACCAAAUCUUGCAUGUUCUUACAGAAAGCUUCACUUUGAGCAAAUGACUUUAAAAAGAUCCCUAAAUUACUAAUUGAUUUUACCACAUUGCAGCUUAGUACGCUUUACACCAAAGGAUACAAAUGUCACCAUCAAAUUUAGCCCUUUUUAAGGGUUUCCAAUUCCCAUUUUAUUGUGGGCUUCUUAUGAAGUGUAUUUUAAAGACAGCUGCAUUAGAUUCCAAUUUUGCUUUUAAGUAGUGCUACCAAUCUAAUUAAGUCACCAUUCUCCAAGCUCACGCUGUAGAUGAGCAAUACAGUUUUCCAGAGGAUUUUAAGUCCUCCUGGGCCCCGUGGAGCCAAGUUUGUAUGUGCCUAAGCACACCAGAAAAUACCUGCACCCAUUAAAGAGCCAGGUGGAAAUACCCUGGGGACAGCCAGCCGAGCAACUCAAAAUAGAAACAAGGCUUUUCUUCUCCUGCAGCACAAAAUGAACGAUGAAAAUAUAUCCAAAAAAUUGGAAAAUGAAAGCAGGAUUGAAAGAGGAAUGUUUGGAAGCACACCACACAGCUUUAUUCUAAGCUAAACUUAUCUACAGUAGUAGCCAUGCUCAUAUUUUAGUACAACCUACGUUUUGCUUCCCCAUAUCAGAAAGCUGGAGAUGUUCUCCAGCAUUACUCUCCACAGUCCUGCAUAUCUUGUUGGCUACUCCUCUGAGACAUCCAAUCAACCUGACCACAUUCAUUCAUUAUUGAUUGCAUUCGGGAUCUCAUCUGCAACUUCAGUGAUGACUGAAAAACCCAAGGAGUCUGGAAUGAGCAAGAUAAGCUCGGCUGAAUGUGGUUGUUGGCAAUUCAAGUCUUCCAAAACCACAGGAGCAUUGCUCUAGUAAAGACCAGAAGCAGUACCUGAAUUCCAGUACUUAAAUCUUGAGCCCUGGAUAGAAGUAACUAGCUGCAAGCCCUGGGAAAUACAGGGCUACUGGUGGCUUGUAGUAUUUCCUUCGUUCAGUCAAUUCCAAGGUGCUGAAGACCAUGAACUAUGAACACCCAUGUUCUGGACAUAACUAGUGACUAGUUCUAUGACUAUCAUUAGUCUACCUUAAUAUUUAAAACUCCUAUACUGGAUUUCAAGCAGUACCUUCCUUUUUCCCUCCUUCUCAAAGCCUAGGCUGGGGUAUACCACGCUUUCCAUUCCUGAGAUCCAAACUGUGGAUUCCCCUUCAUGGUGUUCAGUGACCUCAGGAAGAGAUGCUGGUGGGGUGCAGACCAUUUUCUCACACUCUGUUCUGGCCUGGAAAUUCCCUUAUUGUCCUACUCUGCCUCCUCAGCACCAUUUACCUCUACCUGCAAUAGGAAGGUCAGGGCCUCUAUUGCUUUUGACAGUUGAAUGAGCCUUCGUAAUUCUGCUUGGCAGGACACCGUCUUCCCAUCAGCCUUCCAGAAGUUUUUAAUUAAUUUAUACCUUUUGACCUACACAACAGCCUCUGGCGAUAAGUUCUACAAUUUAAUAAUAUGUUAUAUGAGAAUGUAUGACUUUUUGUUUUAGACCUGAUGCCUAAUAAUUUCAUGGGACAUUCUUUACUUCUAUUCUGAAAAACAGUAGCCAUCCCUUCUUCAUUAUUUCCUAGCUAGGUAGGAAAUUUCAACAUCUCUGUCCCAGGUCUAUCUAUUUUCUCUGUCCUGAUAUGAAAACCAUUCCGCCUUUCUCAUAUACUCUCCGUGGGUGGAAUUCAGAUUAAAACGCUUUGAUUUAGUGGUGGAGUUAAGGUAUCUACCUCACAGAUUGACACCUACAGAUAGAAACCUAAAUUUAGGUGUCUAGAUCUCUGAGCUAAAUAACUCCCACCCAUCAUUUUUAGUUCUAUCUUCUAUGAGACAGGAUGAACAGAAGUGCACAUAUUAAUCAAUAUGUGGGUUUGUCAAACAUUUAUAUAGUGACAUAAUCAUAUAAUCAUGUUUUUCUUCUCCUUUUUUUCUUUUUCAAAAUUUCUGUCAUUCAGUUUGAAUUUUUGAUUGCUGCUGGUCAUUACAUCAGUGCUUUCAGAGAGCUAUCCUACAGUCACUCUAUUUCUGAGUGAUAAUAACUUAAUGUUCGAUCCAUAACUGAAUAAGUAUAAUACAUGAUUGAAUAUGUAUAUUCCCAGAGAAACUACUUUGCAUUUAUUAGCAUUGACUUUCACAUGCCAUUUCUGACACAGUCACUCACUAUCAUGAGAACCACCUGCCUCUCUUCACAGGGUUAGAUUUGACUCUCUCAGUUAAUUUUGCAUCAUCCGCAAACCUUGCCAGUACAUUAUUGAAAAGCACAGGUCCUAACUCUUCACAGUUGCAUGACCAAAUCAUAAUGCUCCUUUCAGUAGGAACACUGAUGUUUUCCCCCAGUUUUUGUCCUAUUUCUCUGUCUUAUUUACCUACAAGAGGACACCUUUUUUUUUUUUUUUUUUUUUAUCUCAGCAUAACUACUUUAAGAGCCUUUGCAGGAAGACUUAUUGACAUUUGUUUGGGAGUCCUUACACACUAUAUCAACUAGAUCAGCCUUACCU